rnacentral:snoRNA from 1 species
GAAGUCCUGAUGAUAAAAUAUACUGUGCAUAGUUCAACCGAAUGCUUUAAUGAAGAUAAAUUUUCCAUCGAUUUUAGUCUUUCGCUCCUAUCUGAACGACUUC